rnacentral:rRNA from 1 species
UCGGGAAUAUUGGACAAUGGGCGAAAGCCUGAUCCAGCCAUGCCGCGUGAGUGACGAAGGCCUUAGGGUUGUAAAACUCUUUCGUCGGGGACGAUAAUGACGGUACCCGAAGAAGAAGCUCCGGCUAACUUCGUGCCAGCAGCCGCGGUAAUACGAAGGGAGCUAGCGUUGUUCGGAAUCACUGGGCGUAAAGCGCACGUAGGCGGAUAGUUAAGUCAGGGGUGAAAUCCUGGGGCUCAACCCCAGAACUGCCUUUGAUACUGGCUGUCUCGAGGUCGAGAGAGGUUGGUGGAAUUCCUAGUGUAGAGGUGAAAUUCGUAGAUAUUAGGAAGAACACCAGUGGCGAAGGCGGCCAACUGGCUCGAUACUGACGCUGAGGUGCGAAAGCGUGGGGAGCAAACAGGAUUAGAUACCCCGGUAGUCCCUGAGCGGGCUGGCAAGGCGCAU